rnacentral:rRNA from 1 species
GGGGCCACGGGCGCAGCAGUGGGGAAUUUUGGACAAUGGGCGCAAGCCUGAUCCAGCUAUUCCGCGUGUGGGAUGACGGCCCUCGGGUUGUAAACCACUUUAGUAGAGAACGAAAAGGAGCUAUCGAAUAAAUAGCUCUGCUGACGGUACUCUAAGAAUAAGCACCGGCUAACUACGUGCCAGCAGCCGCGGUAAUACGUAGGGUGCGAGCGUUAAUCGGAAUUACUGGGCGUAAAGGGUGUGCAGGCGGCUGAGUAAGACAGAUGUGAAAUCCCCGGACUUAACCUGGGAACAGCAUAUGUGAC